UAACCUGCCCAAGAGAUCGGGAUAACACCUGGAAACAGAUGCUAAUACCGGAUAACAACAGAUGAUGCCUAUCAACUGUUUAAAAGAUGGUUCUGCUAUCACUCUUGGAUGGACCUGCGGUGAAUUAGCUAGUUGGUAGGGUAACGGCCUACCAAGGCGAUGAUGCAUAGCCGAGUUGAGAGACUGAUCGGCCACAUUGGGACUGAGACACGGCCCAAACUCCUACGGGAGGCAGCAGAU
rnacentral:rRNA from 1 species